UGCUCAUUACAACUUAAAAAAAGCCAAAGUCAACUAGCAUGUAAGUCAUUUUUUUUGGAUGAGUCAGUGGAGAGGGCACAUAACUUCAUAGGAAUUGAGUUUAGGACGUAGCAUUGCAAAUCAUCAAGUGCUAACCAAUUAACCAAUUAAGCCUGAUCAUUUGAUAACAAAUCUUGAGUCUUAGAUUCGAGUCAAAACUGCGCAUUAAGUCGCCUUCUGGCAGGCCAUUGGUUAUAGUGAUGUAAAUGGGUUGGGAGUGAUCCGGGUUGAUCUUGACACUGGCCCAAUCUGACUGGAGUCAAGUCCAAGUCACUUGGUCCUAGACUCGACCUAUCAAGUUGCA
rnacentral:lncRNA from 1 species